UGCAAGGUAUAUCCUUAAGGGAUUGCCAACAAAGGGACUCCGCCGUGGAGGAACUCGGUCACGCACGACGACCCGCACACCACGUCCACGCAGAACUGGACCCUCUGUCGAGCUUAUGGACAGAUGAAAUCUGGGGUUCUUUACCCAACCUGAAAUCUUGAUUUUUCUGAUGGUGUCGAGAGAGGGCAGAUCUGAUAUUUAGUGGGAAUUUGUUCCAUUGUAGAAAGAAUUCAUGGCCGCCCGAGGAGUAUAUCAGCAGGAACACUUUGCAGUUGUUUGAUUUCGAUAGUGCUGCCCCUCCGGAACAAGCCUGGAGGAGGAGAUGAAAUAGUGUCACAUUUAUUGACGCAAUAAGGAUGGUAAGAGAUUGUUCUCUUUCUUAUUAGUUCACUGAUUGUGGAAACA